AUUCCUAUACACCAAUAACAGACAGUGAGCCAAAUCAUGAGGGAACUCCCAUUCACAACUGCUGCAAAGAUAAUAAAAUACCUAGUUAUACAACUAGCAACCAUGUAUUUUUUAUUCAAGAUUGGUUAAAUCUGCAGAUGCAGAUCCCUUGAAUUAGUAGCAAUUAUUAUUGCAGAUAAAACGAUUUAAAACUUCUAUUACCAAAUAAGAUAUCAUCCUAGAUAACUUUUAUAAAAAAGAUAUAUGAGUCAAAAAUGAUUUGGAGGAAGUUCAAAUAUAAAACUUUUUAAAUAUAAUUUUAAUUAUAUUAUAAACAUAUUUUUGAAAUAAGGUAUUAUUGGUCCUCGGUUGUCUACCAUUUCUCUAAUUUUUACAGAGAAGGCAAAGUAGCUAUUAAAGAAUUAAAGACUAGAAACAGGUUUAGAAAAAAAUUUCUUAAAGAGAUAAAUUAGCUAAAUGAAGAGUACAAAUGCAAACAAUUAUUCAGAUAGUGGUCAAACUCUUCCUUUUACUUUUAAGGAAUUAUCUAGAAGUUUUUUCUUGAAAAUGAGUACGGAUUUUGUUACAGAGUCCAUAUCUACUCUAACCGUUCCAUUUCUCCAUUUAGCAUUCAUAUUAUUGGACUUAAUCCUAUUGUUAGAGCAGAGGCAAACUUUAGCUUGAUGGAAUUUACUUGAAAUUUACAGAUAGUCACAUUUUGCUAACUUGCAUAAAAUUUUAGAUAAGGCAAAGCUUUCAGUUCAGAAAAAUCAAUCUAAUGUUUAAAUAGGUUAGUGUUUAUUUUGGUUGAUAGAGAAACUGGUAGGUAAAUUUUUGAUUAUGUCUCAGAAUUUAAAUAUAUUCAUAAAGACUGCUCUUUCCAGGGUCCCCAAGAAAUCAAAGGUGUAAAAAAGGAGGAAAUCUCAAUUAAACCUCAGUUCAAAAAUUUGAGGAAUUCUUAAUUUAUUACUAUUUUAAAUUAAGGUCUAUAAAGGCUUACUCAUAGUAAAGUAGAGAUUUGUGUUCUGCAAACGGCUCACAUAAAAAAUAUACAUUUCACAUAUCAUCUGACUUUAAGGCCAAAUUCAUUAUAUAAUCACAUUUAUCAAGAUUAUUGGGUACAUUACAAACUCAUCAGAAAGAGUGCUAAUAUGUCAAUUCAAUUUAAUAUUUGCUCUGUUCCUGCUGUAUGCUAGAUACUAUGCUCAGCACUGUGGGGGAUAAAAGAUGAAAAAAGUCUGUUCUAUUGCAGACUCAUAUUCUAUUGGGGAGUAUCAGAAGAAGAACUUACUGCUAGUUGAAGAGGUGAGAGAGACAUCAUUUUAUGCUUUUAAGAAAGAAGGUUUUCAGUAUGAAAAGGUGAAGGCAGCAACGUGGCAUGAGCAAAGGGACAACGUUGUGAAAGCAUCAGACAGAUUUUCAGGAGAAUGAGACACUCAAGUUAUUUCAGACUCAAAGUAGACGAUAGAUUGGGGUCAAAUCAUAGAAGCAUUUAAUACACUUUUGAGAUAUUUGAAAAUUACUCUGAAGAUAAUAGAAUGACGAUAAUAGAAUCAUUGAAGAUUUUAGACACAAAUGAAGUGAUUACAAUUGUCAUUUAGGAUGAUUACUCUAAAGGUCAUGUGCUGGUUGGUAGAAUAGCAAAGAUAUUGAAGGUAGGAAGAUAGAAGUGAUAAAAAUAAUCUGGUAAAGUAUAAUGGGGGCUUAAGUUACAAUCAGGGCUUCCACUUCAGGAAAAUAUAAGGAAGGUAGGAACAUAAAAUGCGACAGAGUGCACUGAUAAAACCAUAGCAACUGAAGCAAAGAGCAAGGAGGAAGCAGAAGUUAGUGAUGAAUAUGUGUCUGGGUGACUGGAAAGAUGGUAGUGGUGAUAUAAAUAAGAACCAUCGUAGAUAUGCGGAAAAAACGAAUUUAAUUUUGAGUUGAGUUGGAGAUACAAAGGGGUCAUCUAAAGAGAAAUGUUCAAAAAACAAUUAAAAAUGUGUCAUAGCUCAGGAAAUUGGAUGAAUCAAGAGAGAAAAAAUAAUGAGUCAUCUGCUUAGCAUUUAGGGCCAGGUGAAACUGAAAGAGGAUUGCGGAGGCAGAGUGCCUUCAAGCAUGUUUGCAUUUGGGACAAGAAAAUGAAAUAAAAUGGCUAAAAACAAGGCCAGAAAAAUAGGUCAUGUGUAAGAAAAGGCUUCAAAGAGGAGGAUACACAGAAUAGAACUUUUGAUUUUUCGAAUUCUUCUCCUUCACUCAUCUGAUCUCUUCUACAUCUGUGGUCCCCUCACUUCCCCCUACCUCCAAAUAUAUCAUUAAGUUCCGUAGAUUUUGUUUCCAAAAUACAGUUGACCCUUGAACAACAUGAGUUGGAACUGCUCAGGUACAUUUAUAUGCGGGUUUUCUUCUACUGCUGCCACCUCCGAGACAGCAAGACCAACCUCUCCUCCUGCUCCUCCUCAGCCUACUCACUGUGUGAUGACACUGAGGUUUAAGGUCUCUAUGAUCAUCCACUUCCAUUUAAUACAGAGUAAAUAUAUUUUCUCCUUUAUGAUUUUCUUAAUAACAUUUUCUUCUCUGAAGCUGACUUUAUUGUAAGAAUAAACUUUGUAAUACAUAAACAUAAAAUGUAUAUUGCUUGUUUAUGUUAUUUAAUGAGGCUUUCCAUCAAUAGUAGGCUAUUACUAGUUAAGACAUACCAGCCUGGGCAACAUGGCAAAACCCCAUG